GACAGAGGCCCCGAGCGUUAGGCGGAAUCACUGGGCUUAAAGCGUGCGCAGGCGGUUUUGUAAGUCUGUCGUGAAAUCCCCGGGCUCAACCUGGGAAUUGCGAUGGAGACUGCAAGGCUAGAAUCUGGCAGAGGGGGGUAGAAUUCCACGUGUAGCAGUGAAAUGCGUAGAGAUGUGGAGGAACACCGAUGGCGAAGGCAGCCCCCUGGGUCAAGAUUGACGCUCAUGCACGAAAGCGUGGGGAGCAAACAGG
rnacentral:rRNA from 1 species